GCCCUUCAGGCCUAACACAUGCAAGUCGAGCGGUAGCACAGAGAGCUUGCUCUCGGGUGACGAGCGGCGGACGGGUGAGUAAUGUCUGGGAAGCUGCCUGAUGGAGGGGGAUAACUACUGGAAACGGUAGCUAAUACCGCAUAACGUCGCAAGACCAAAGUGGGGGACCUUCGGGCCUCAUGCCAUCAGAUGUGCCCAGAUGGGAUUAGCUAGUAGGUGGGGUAACGGCCCACCAAGGCGACGAUCGAUAGCUGGUCUGAGAGGAUGAUCAGCCACACUGGGACUGAGACACGGCCCAGACUCCUACGGGAGGCAGCAGUAGGGAAUAUUGGACAAUGGGCGCAAGCCUGAUCCAGCCAUGCCGCGUGAGUGAAGAAGGCCCUCGGGUUGUAAAGCUCUUUUGUCCGGAAAGAAAAGCAUUCGGUUAAUACCCGGGUGUUCUGACGGUACCGGAAGAAUAAAGCACCGGCUAACUUCGUGCCAGCAAGCCGCGGUAAUAAGGGC
rnacentral:rRNA from 1 species